rnacentral:rRNA from 1 species
UACGUAGGGUGCAAGCGUUGUCCGGAAUUAUUGGGCGUAAAGAGCUCGUAGGCGGUUUGUCGCGUCUGCUGUGAAAUCUGGAGGCUCAACCUCCAGCCUGCAGUGGGUACGGGCAGACUAGAGUGCGGUAGGGGAGACUGGAAUUCCUGGUGUAGCGGUGAAAUGCGCAGAUAUCAGGAGGAACACCGGUGGCGAAGGCGGGUCUCUGGGCCGUAACUGACGCUGAGGAGCGAAAGCGUGGGGAGCGAACAGG